CUAGAGGGUGGGUUGUGUUUGAUGGCUGAUACCGGGAGAGGUGAUGGGAGAAGGGCCCAUUGUGACUGCUAGCUGGGUUCCGGGGCUGGAAAGGUCUGGAAUCCCAUGGGGAUGAGUGAGGGAAAGAGAUAGCCCAGCUGUGGGGUUCUCAGCCCUGGUGUGCCCAGGAGGACGUACCUGUAGCUCAGGACGCAGGGGACGAAAUGUGGAGUCCCAACUUCGAAGAGCAGAGGUGGUGGGAAGAGAAGCCUGGGCUUUGGUAGCAAAGGAUUUUACUGAGGAACAGCCUCCCCCAUGGUCCUGACGUCUCGACUGAAAUGGUUUAGACUUGGAGAGAUGAGCUUUGGAUUUGUCGCCAGAUAAGGAUGCUAACCAGUUUGAUAUAGCCGUCUAACUCAUACACAGGACGAUAUAUGUGGACCUUGUGAAUGGCAGAGCCAAGAGGACUUGGCAUUUAAGUCGUUUCAGCCAAAGGUGGAGGGACUCCCUCUCCACCAGGAGCAAAACUAAAACCUGAUCAAGAGAGGGUCCCACUCCCAGGACAGGACAAGAGGCUCCAUGUGUGCUGUUCCAGCUCUCCAGUCAGAGGAACCACACCUCCGCCCUUUGUACCUGCCACGAAACUCUGGACUUGGAGUCGGUUUCUCCGAUUGGGCAGGGAAUGCCAGAUCUCUCCUGUGAGAAAGUGAGCUGUUCUGCAACACAGAAGCAAACAUGUGUGACCAAGGAGGAAUGUCCAGAUAAGUUGCUUCAAAGAAGCCAAUGGUUGUGACCAAGGGAAGCAUAGUAGUUUAAUUAUUACCUCAAACACUCCUUACUGAUGUAGGGUCACCCUCUUCGUGCAUACCUCUACUUGAGGAUUACAUUUGCGCUCUGCUGACCUUAGACUUGGUCAUGUGACUUGCUUGACUAACAAUGGAGCUGACACAUGUCACUUCUGAACAGGAGUUUGAAGAGCCAAGAUGUAACCCACCAUCUUUUCCUUCUGUCUGGUGGUUAGCAAUGUUUCAUGUCAGAGCUGUUCCUGAGCCUGGAUUCCAGAGUGGACUUACAGCUGACUCACAGCACGGACAUUCUGUGAGUGGUAGAUAACUGUAGUUGUGAGCCAUUGAAAUUUCAAGGAUGUUUGUUACCAUAGCAUAGCCAAGCCUACCCUGCCUGAUACAAGAGUAAAUGAAUGAGGUCACAAAAGAAUACUCUGUGUGUCUUUUUUUUUUUUUUAAUGACAGAGUCUUGCUAUAUAUCCCAGGUUAGGCUCAAACUUAUCAUCUUCCUGCUCCAACCUCUCAAGGGCUGAAAUUACAGAUCUAAAUCAUCAUGGAUAACUUUUUUGAAGCUAUUUUUAUGAGGUUUAAAAACAGCCUAUAUUAUUUACAAAUAACUGUGGGUUGGCACAAUUAUAAAUAAAGCAAAAACAUUAACAGGUAAAAGUGGUUGCCUUUGGUUGAGCAUCAGGGAGGCACAGUUGACCAGUUUUAACACUUCAAAUGUUAUAAAUACUAUUUUUGUAUGAAUGACACAAUUAAACGUUUUUUAUUUUAA